rnacentral:rRNA from 1 species
GACGAACGCUGGCGGCGUGCUUAACACAUGCAAGUCGAACGGAAAGGCCCUGCUUUUGUGGGGUGCUCGAGUGGCGAACGGGUGAGUAACACGUGAGUAACCUGCCCUCGACUUUGGGAUAACUUCAGGAAACUGGGGCUAAUACCGGAUAGGAGCUCCUGCUGCAUGGUGGGGGUUGGAAAGUUUCGGCGGUUGGGGAUGGACUCGCGGCUUAUCAGCUUGUUGGUGGGGUAGUGGCUUACCAAGGCCUUGACGGGUAGCCGGCCUGAGAGGGUGACCGGCCACAUUGGGACUGAGAUACGGCCCAGACUCCUACGGGAGGCAGCAGUGGGGAAUAUUGCACAAUGGGCGGAAGCCUGAUGCAGCAACGCCGCGUGCGGGAUGACGGCCUUCGGGUUGUAAACCGCUUUCGCCUGUGACGAAGCGUGAGUGACGGUAAUGGGUAAAGAAGCACCGGCUAACUACGUG